rnacentral:rRNA from 1 species
UUUGAUCCUGGCUCAGGAUGAACGCUAGCGGCAGGCCUAAUACAUGCAAGCUGAACGGCAAGAGCUUUAGCAAUAGAGUUCCUAGAGUAGCGUAAGGGUGCGUAACACGUAUGCAAUCUACCCACAACAGGAGGAUAGCUCCCCGAAAGGGGAAUUAAGACUCCAUAAUAUCAUAUGAGGGCAUCUGAGUAUGAUUAAAGUACAAGCGGUUGUGGAUGAGCAUGCGUCUGAUUAGUUAGUUGGCGGGGUAACGGCCCACCAAGACGAUGAUCAGUAGGGGAACUGAGAGGUUGGUCCCCCACACUGGCACUGAGAUACGGGCCAGACUCCUACGGGAGGCAGCAGUAGGGAAUAUUGGACAAUGGGUGCAAGCCUGAUCCAGCCAUGCCGCGUGCAGGAAGAAGGCCUUCUGGGUCGUAAACUGCUUUUACCGGGGGAUAAAAUACUCGUGCGCGAGGAAUUGAAAGUACCUGGUGAAUAAGCCACGGCUAACUACGUGCCAGCAGCCGCGGUAAUACGUAGGUGGCAAGCGUUGUCCGGAUUUAUUGGGUUUAAAGGGUGCGUAGGCGGUCCUGUAAGUCAGUUGUGAAAUACGGCAGCUUAACUGUCGAGGUGCAAUUGAUACUGCAGGACUUGAGUACUGAUGAGGUAGGCGGAAUGGACGGUGUAGCGGUGAAAUGCUUAGAUAUUACACAGAACACCGAUUGCGAGGCAGCUUACUAAACUGUUACUGACGCUGAUGCACGAAAGCGUGGGGAGCGAACAGGAUUAGAUACCCUGGUAGUCCACGCCGUAAACGAUGCUCACUCGCUGUUUGCGAUACACAGCAAGCGGCCAAGCGAAAGCAUUWAGUGAGCCACCUGGGGAGUACGAUCGCAAGGUUGAAACUCAAAGGAAUUGACGGGGGCCCGCWCAAGCGGAGGAACAUGUGGUUUAAUUCGAUGA